rnacentral:lncRNA from 1 species
UUUGUCACAGUUGCUCCUGUACUGGUUCACUGGCCAGAGUUUAUGAUCUGUUUAGCCUGUGUUGGACGUGAAAAUAAUAAUAAUGAUAAUAAAAACCGUUGUAUCCAUCACAGGGGGAAGUAUUUCCUAUUUGGAGGCAUAUAUAAGGAGAAAAUCUAGAUAACUUUGGAACAAAAUAUAUGCAAUAUGCUGAUCCUAAUCCUAAUAUAUCUAUGUGCUAAAGCUUCUGUCAGUCUCUGCCCCUCCCACAAUAAAAUGCAACCAAAUAAACUAACAUAUAAUUGCUUUCAUUAAUUUUGGUUUCGGCAUGUCUUGACUGGCUAUCCACAUAGUCCUAAUUUACUGUACACAAAAGAGGUGAUUUAUCUGGCAGUCUAUUCAUUGGAAUUCUAUUAAGCAGCCAAUGUAAUGAUGAAUGUUCUUAAUGAUGGCCCUGAGGCUCUGCAAGUUUCUGAGGUGCUUUCUGAAUCAUCAAUGAAAGACAACCAGAGACCAUAAAAUUAUCUCUCCUUGGUUCCAUUGUG